UAGGGAAUCUUCCGCAAUGAGCGAAAGCCUGACGGAGCAACGCCGCGUGAGUGAUGAAGGUCUUCGGAUCGUAAAACUCUGUUAUUAGGGAAGAACAAAUGUGUAAGUAACUAUGCACAUCUUGACGGUACCUAAUCAGAAAGCCACGGCUAACUACGUGCCAGCAGCCGCGGUAAUACGUAGGUGGCAAGCGUUAUCCGGAAUUAUUGGGCGUAAAGCGCGCGUAGGCGGUUUUUUAAGUCUGAUGUGAAAGCCCACGGCUCAACCGUGGAGGGUCAUUGGAAACUGGAAAACUUGAGUGCAGAAGAGGAAAGUGGAAUUCCAUGUGUAGCGGUGAAAUGCGCAGAGAUAUGGAGGAACACCAGUGGCGAAGGCGACUUUCUGGUCUGUAACUGACGCUGAUGUGCGAAAGCGUGGGGAUCAAACA
rnacentral:rRNA from 1 species